rnacentral:rRNA from 1 species
UACAGAGGGGGCAAGCGUUGUUCGGAAUUACUGGGCGUAAAGGGCGCGUAGGCGGCCUUCUAAGUCAGGCGUGAAAUCCCUCGGCUCAACCGGGGAACUGCGUCUGAGACUGGAAGGCUUGAAUCCGGGAGAGGGAUGCGGAAUUCCAGGUGUAGCGGUGAAAUGCGUAGAUAUCUGGAGGAACACCGGUGGCGAAGGCGGCAUCCUGGACCGGCAUUGACGCUGAGGCGCGAAAGCCAGGGGAGCAAACGGG